AUGCCUUGCAACGAGGACGACCGCUGGCUGUUCGCGGCAGCCACGACGGUAGCACUAGGCGAUGGCCGAACGGCCUCCUUCUGGAUGGAUAGUUGGCUGCAAGGCCAAGCUCCAUGCCACAUUGCGCCAGAACUGUUUCGCCUCUCCAAACGCAAGCACCGCACCGUGCGUCAGGCACUAACCGGCAACCGCUGGGUAAACGACCUAGGAGGACGAGUUCCAAGCAACCUCCUCGCGGCUUUUGUUUCCCUCUGGGGCCGGAUCAGUGCUACGACCAUCCUUGAUACGGGCAGGAACAUAUUCACCUGGAAGCUUGAGGCCUCUGGCAGCUACUCGGCCUCUUCGUCAUACCAUUUGCAAUUCUUGGGGUCCACCUUCUCGCCAAUCAUGCAGUCCGUCUGGCGUGCCCGGGCGCUGGCCAAGAUUAAGUUUUUCUCAUGGCUCCUCUCCGCUGGUAGACUACUCACGGCGGACCGGCUCAUGGCCAGGGCAUGGCCUAAUUCCUAUUUCUGUCCGUUAUGCUGGCGCAACCUGGAGACCGCUCAACACUUGUUCAGGGAGUGCACUUGGUCAAGGAACCUCUGGACGGCGGCGGCCAGCCGCUUUCGCGUCCCCACCUUCCUUCCAAGCUCCUGGAGGUCUUCAAACUGCAUGGUGGAUUGGCUGGACGGACUUAGCACGGUGCCUGUUGGCCGCAAGCGGGCGAGAUCAAUCGCUCUCCUAACCACCUGGUGGAUCUGGCUCGAGCGUAACGGCCGCAUUUUCAGGGAUCUCGAGCGCCCUGUCCGGGUAGUGCUGGAGCUUCUCACCGACGAGCUAGCUACGUGGGUAUUGGCGGGGGUAACCACUUGA
rnacentral:rRNA from 1 species